UAAGCUGAGUCCAGAACCUAUAUAUCUCUUAACAUCCAGAAAAGUACCUAACAAAUGAAUGCUUGUUGAAUAUUUUUAUAAUCAAUUUUAAUUUCUUUUUUGUUGUUGUUGUUUUGAGACAGAGUUUCGCUUUUGUUGCCCAGGCUGGAGUGCAAUGGUGUGAUCUCUGCUCAGUGCAACCUUCGCCUCUGGAUUCAAGCAAUUCUCCUGCCUCAGCCUCCUGAGUAGCUGGGAUUACAGGGCUCUGAUCAGGAUGAGAGAACAAGAUGGAGAGUCAGACUUCCGAGUCCCUAGGUUCUCAGCACUUGACCCUCACAACGUGGCAUUCCUUCAGGCUCUGGCCUGACAAAACCAUGGAGUCCCCAGGAGAACCAGAUGUUCGGUCACUGCUGUAAGAAUGUGAGACUGAGAGGUCUACGAACACUCACUGAAUCUCGACAACCACAAACACCCAAUUCAGGGCACCGGAGCCUCUUCCCCAACCUUAGGUGAGGCUUAGAAAAUUUCCUCCGUCCCUCCUGUCUAACCAUUAGGCAGUGCGGCGAUAAGCUAAGGUUGAUCCUUAAACACGAGUCACCUAGUUAACCUCCCUCACCAUGCAAACAGACACAUACAGAAUUUAAGGCCAUAGAAAAUAGACGCCACCAGGGAAUUCUCAGAGAUCAUUUAUUUCAGAGACUUGUGUUAAAAAAUUCUAUAUCUUAGACAAGUCUUGGCCACAAUAUUUUGGCAUUGUGAUCACCUGAUUCUAAAAUAUCAAAUAUUACAGUGCAGUGGAUUUGUGUACACAUCUGUAAGCCCCAGGGGAUAUAAGACCCCACACAACCCCUUUAUAAGAGUAGGGCUAGUAGACAGAAUUGCUACCCACCUUAUAGGAUAAUUUUGUCACAUUAGGCUGUUGCUCUUUGGCAUUAUAUUCCAGGAUCAUUUCUUGAACCAUAGUCAUAUAAAUGGCCACAACAAGGACUUUUGCUUUAUGCAACUUCACUAGGCUCCCUCCUUACCUA
rnacentral:lncRNA from 1 species